rnacentral:tRNA from 2 species
GUGGGUAUAGCUCAGUGGUAGAGCAUGUGCUUAGCAUGCACAAGGCCCUGGGUUCAAUCCCCAGUACCUCCA